rnacentral:rRNA from 1 species
UGGGGAAUAUUGGACAAUGGGCGAAAGCCUGAUCCAGCCAUGCCGCGUGAGUGAUGAAGGCCCUAGGGUUGUAAAGCUCUUUCACCGGUGAAGAUAAUGACGGUAACCGGAGAAGAAGCCCCGGCUAACUACGUGCCAGCAGCCGCGGUAAUACGUAGGGGGCAAGCGUUAUCCGGAUUCAUUGGGCGUAAAGAGCGCGUAGGCGGCUUGUUAAGCGAGAUGUGAAAACCGGGGGCUUAACCCGCGGCCUGCAUCUCGAACUGGCAGGCUUGAGUCUGGUAGAGGAGUGUGGAAUUCCCAGUGUAGCGGUGAAAUGCGCAGAUAUUGGGAGGAACACCAGUGGCGAAGGCGGCACUCUGGGCCACGACUGACGCUGAGGCGCGAAAGCUAGGGGAGCAAACA